rnacentral:rRNA from 1 species
UCCUACGGGAGGCAGCAGUGAGGAAUAUUGCGCAAUGGGCGAAAGCCUGACGCACCGACGCCGCGUGGGGGAUGAAGGUCUUCGGAUUGUAAACCCCUUUCGGGAGGGAAGAUGGGACGGGCAACCGUUCGGACGGUACCUCCAGAAGCAGCCACGGCUAAAUUCGUGCCAGCAGCCGCGGUAAUACGAAGGUGGCAAGCGUUGUUCGGAUUUACUGGGCGUACAGGGAGCGUAGGCGGUUGGGUAAGCCCUUCGGGAAAUCUCCAGGCUUAACCUGGAAAGGUCGGGGGGGACUGCCUGGCUAGAGGACGGGAGAGGAGCGCGGAAUUCCCGGUGUAGCGGUGAAAUGCGUAGAGAUCGGGAGGAAGGCCGGUGGCGAAGGCGGCGCUCUGGAACGUUCCUGACGCUGAGGCUCGAAAGCGUGGGGAGCAAACAGGAUUAGAUACCCUGGUAGUCCACGCCCUAAACGAUGGACACUAAGUGUCGGGGGGUUACCCCCGGUGCCGCAGCUAACGCAGUAAGUGUCCCGCCUGGGGAUUACGGCCGCAAGGUUGAAACUCAAAGGAAUUGACGGGGGCCCGCACAAGCGGUGGAGCAUGUGGUUCAAUUC